GAAAAGAGGAAAACAAACAAACCCAAAACAGGGCACAAUCACUGUUGACUUGGGAGGUACCACUGACAAAGUGGCCUGUGAAGAUCACCUUGUUGUAGCCUUGGUUCCUUGCCCUCCAGAGAGCCGACUCCCCUUCGCUGGGCUGGAUGAGCAGGAGAGACAGAGACACCUGGCCCUCCCGGAACAGAGUGAAGCUGACAAGCUUGGUCUCUGUUGGUGAAUCUGCCGGAUCCAGUGGUGCUAUAUGGAGUAAGACCACUUUGAAGGUAUUUCUGUGAUGCAUAAAGGAAACUGAGACUUCAAACAGAAAAACGUGUUCCAUGAAUGUGAGGAUUUAGUGGAGAAAACAGUUCAGGUAAUUAGCUACAGAGCCUGUGUUGGGAAGAAAAGGAAAUUGGGGCCGGAAGGGGUCUUCUAAGUUGAAAGAAAAUGAAAGAAUCAAGGAAACAGUGCCUGGGACAUGAAAGGCAUUCAGUACUUUUCUGUCUCCUGGAUUAGUGAGUGAAUUCAAGGUUUGUGGGCGGUGUUAUGAGAACGAGAGUACAAGCAUACCUUGGAGAUACUGUGGGUUUGAUUCCAGACCACAACAAUAAAGUGAACAUCACAUCAAAGCAA